UACGUAGGGGGCUAGCGUUGUCCGGAAUCAUUGGGCGUAAAGCGCGUGUAGGCGGUUCGGUAAGUCCGCUGUGAAAGUCGGGGGCUCAACCCUCGGAAGCCGGUGGAUACUGUCGAGCUAGAGUCCGGAAGAGGAGAGUGGAAUUCCUGGUGUAGCGGUGAAAUGCGCAGAUAUCAGGAAGAACACCAAUGGCGAAAGCAGCUCUCUGGGACGGUACUGACGCUGAGACGCGAAAGCGUGGGGAGCGAACAGG
rnacentral:rRNA from 1 species